rnacentral:rRNA from 1 species
UACGUAGGGUGCAAGCGUUGUUCGGAAUUACUGGGCGUAAAGCGCGCGUAGGCGGGCUUAUAAGUUGAUUGUGAAAUCCCCCGGGCUUAACCUGGGACGUGCAGUCAAAACUGUAAGCCUUGAAUGUCUGAGAGGAUGGCGGAAUUCCCGGUGUAGUAGUGAAAUACGUAGAUAUCGGGAAGAACACCUGAGGCGAAGGCGGCUAUCUGGCGGUACAAUUGACGCUGAGGCGCGAAAGCGUGGGGAGCAAACAGG